rnacentral:rRNA from 1 species
UACGGAGGGUGCAAGCGUUAUCCGGAUUCACUGGGUUUAAAGGGUGCGUAGGUGGGUUGAUAAGUCAGUGGUGAAAUCCCCGAGCUUAACUUGGGAACUGCCAUUGAUACUAUUAGUCUUGAAUACUGUGGAGGUCAGCGGAAUAUGUCAUGUAGCGGUGAAAUGCUUAGAUAUGACAUAGAACACCAAUUGCGAAGGCAGCUGGCUACACAAAUAUUGACACUGAGGCACGAAAGCGUGGGGAUCAAACAGG